rnacentral:rRNA from 1 species
AGACCCGAAACCCGGUGAUCUAGCCAUGGGCAGGUUGAAGGUUGGGUAACACUAACUGGAGGACCGAACCGACUAAUGUUGAAAAAUUAGCGGAUGACUUGUGGCUGGGGGUGAAAGGCCAAUCAAACCGGGAGAUAGCUGGUUCUCCCCGAAAGCUAUUUAGGUAGCGCCUCGUGAAUUCAUCUCCGGGGGUAGAGCACUGUUUCGGCAAGGGGGUCAUCCCGACUUACCAACCCGAUGCAAACUGCGAAUACCGGAGAAUGUUAUCACGGGAGACACACGGCGGGUGCUAACGUCCGUCGUGAAGAGGGAAACAACCCAGACCGCCAGCUAAGGUCCCAAAGUCAUGGUUAAGUGGGAAACGAUGUGGGAAGGCCCAGACAGCCAGGAUGUUGGCUUAGAAGCAGCCAUCAUUUAAAGAAAGCGUAAUAGCUCACUGGUCGAGUCGGCCUGCGCGGAAGAUGUAACGGGGCUAAACCAUGCACCGAA